rnacentral:lncRNA from 10 species
CAUGCAUCUCCCUUUCUCUGCCAAACUCUUCCUUGAUGACACACAAGAUCCGAGGAUGAAUGAUUGCCCUCUUGAACUCAUUACACUUUCCUUGCCUAGAAUCUGGGGACAGAAUGAAGGCUCUGUCUUCUACUCCAUCAUCUUGUUGGCAUCACUCCUGGAAAAGAUAUUCCAGUGCAAAGUUGAGUGUGGAUCAUCUUUAGGGAUGUAAUCUCGACUUCCCUUCGGAGAAAAGGAGAAAUACCACAUUUGUUGGAAGCCAGUCUCCAAGAAAGUUCACAGUUUUUCCUGAUGCCUAUUGUCAAGCUCAGCAGAGCUGCCUGCCUCCAGCUCCAGUAUUAGAACUAUCCUGGUGUAAUGUGCAAAAAAAGAGAACAGAGAGAAGAUAGAACAAUCAUCAAAUUCUUACUCUCAUAUUUCUACAAACAUGAAAAGAUAAAAUCUAAGAGGGAGAACAAGUAAGUCAGGGAUUACGGCUACGAUUCAGUUUCGAGAUUCCACUAAUUGAUCAGAGAAAAAGAAUGGACUGCAAGAUGAGCUUAAAUCAUGUUAUUGUUUCACAAUCACAAAGACAAAUGCCAUGUUGUGAGAGGACCAUGUGCUGAAGAACUGAGGCCUUCUGGUGAGAGCCACCUAAGUGACCUUAGAAGCAGAUCUUCCAACCCCAGUCAAACCUUCAGAUAAUUGCAACCUCAGCUAAUCUCAUGAGGACUAUACGCUCAUGAGAGACUCAGAUAAAUUGCUUCUAGAUUUCUGACCCUCAGAAACUCUGCAUGAUAAUACAUAUGUUUGGUUUUAAGCCUGUAAGUUUGCAGGUGACUUGCUACAUCGUAAUAGGUAAUACAUUGCUCUUACCUGAAAGAUACCUAAAGCCUUGUUGUGGAAGAGGACCAGAGUGAGAUGUUUUGAAAUACUGCUUCACGCACUGUGUCACAGAAAAAUGGAGAAACUGUAUAACAGAAAUAAAGGGUCCAUAAUAAUUCACGCAAGGUUUGCCACAUUUCAGAUUGGUUAUAAAUUCACAGGAAAAGACCACACAUGCAUCCACACAAACAUACACACAUACAAAUACACACUAUAAGACUACAGUAAAUUCCCAGUAAACUGAACAUUCAGAGCAGGAGCAGCUACAUGAUAGCCAGGUAAUUAAUUUUUCUGCUCUAUCUAAGCUCAAGAAGAAAAAAAAUCACCAAGGUCUUAUGGCCGUGAAUAUUUUAUUUCUUUUACUUCCUUUUUGUGCAUGUGCAAACAUUAUUAUUUAGUAUAAAUAGCUCUCCAUUGACAUGUAUAUGAGACUUGGAAUUUAGUGUAAUUUAAAACUGAAAGACAAAAUUGCUUAGAACAUGAGAAGAGCGAGUUUGUGUUGUAUGCUAAUAGGCUUAGACUACAAAUUUUUUUUAAACAAAAUUUGCCUUUGGGAGAAGAAUCACUUGUGAUAUUUGUACUAAACUCAGUAUUAGAAAUCCCCACAUAUAAGAAGAUUAAAUCAUCAUCAUGCAGCAAACUACAACAAUGUUAGUUGGGGACAUCUGGACAAUUAUUCUGCUCCUCCAGAAAAGGACGUGCCUUGUCAUUGCUGAAUUUAAGUCAGAACCAGAAAAAAUCAUUAUUAAAGAAAAAAAAAAAGAAAGAAACAGGGAAAGAAAGAAGGAAAGGAGGGAGGGAGGGAGGGAGGAAGGAAGGAAGGAAGGAAGGAAGGAAGGAAGGAAGGAAGGAAGGAAGGGGGGAAGGAAGGAAGGAAAAGAAAGCAAAAGAAAAAGAAAGAAAACAGAAGAAAGAAGGAAAGAAGGAAGGAAGGAGAGAAGAAAGAAAGAAUAGAAGGAAGGAAAGAAAGAAAGAAAGAGAGAAAGAAAGAAAGAAAGAAAGAGAAAGAAAGCUUAAAUGAGAGCUGACAGUUUAUUUAUAUAAAAUGUUUAGAAUUUUUAUGAAGUACCCUCAUAAACUGGAACUCCAGACCUGCUAAGAUAAUCAUGUGAAUGGACAGUGUUGCCAGCAUCUGCCUACCCCUUUUCAAGGUUUCUGUGGUGCUGAGAUAGAUGCAACUGCUCCUGCUUAUUGUAGCCAGUUUAUCAUUGCUAAAAUUACAUACCCUUGGUUAAUUAAAUUGGGAACAUACUAUAACCGUUCUGUGUAUGUGUGUAUGUGCAUGUGAAUGUAGUCUUUUUCUGUAAAUACCAAACAGAGAUGUUCCUGACUCAGGGAUAUAUUUUUCAACCACAGUAAAAUUCAUUUUGG